CAAUUUUUCCUUCCUUACCUUGAAAGUGGUUUGGUUUGAAGAGGAUUGAACCCUUGCCUUCUUCACAGCCCCACCAGUUACAUUGCUGUUACACUCAGAGGAGCGAUCUAGUUGAGGAGGAUGUCUAGGACGAGAAUGAUCAGCAAGAGAGUUAUUGUUAUUGUUUGAAAAAUCCAACAUAUUACUGCUGAAACUUGUCACACAUGACUGAGGAGAAG
rnacentral:misc_RNA from 1 species